rnacentral:rRNA from 1 species
CAGGAUGAACGCUGGCGGUCUGCUUAACACAUGCAAGUCGAACGAAUCCCUUCGGGGAUGAGUGGCGGACGGGUGAGUAGCGCGUGAGAAUCUGCCUUCAGGUUCGGGACAACCACGGGAAACGGUGGCUAAUACCGAAUGUGCCGCAACGUGAAAGAUUUAUCGCCUGAAGAUGAGCUCGCGUCCGAUUAGCUAGUUGGUGAGGUAAAAGCUCACCAAGGCGACGAUCGGUAGCUGGUCUGAGAGGAUGACCAGCCACACUGGGACUGAGACACGGCCCAGACUCCUACGGGAGGCAGCAGUGGGGAAUUUUCCGCAAUGGGCGCAAGCCUGACGGAGCAAGACCGCGUGAGGGAGGAAGGCCCAAGCGGUUGUAAACCUCUUUUCUCAGGGAAGAAGAAAGUGACGGUACCUGAGGAAUCAGCCUCGGCUAACUCCGUGCCAGCAGCCGCGGUAAUACGGAGGAGGCAAGCGUUAUCCGGAAUUAUUGGGCGUAAAGCGUCCGUAGGUGGUUAUGUAAGUCUGCUGUCAAAGCACAGGGCUUAACCCUGUAAAGGCAGUGGAAACUACAAGACUCGAGUGCGGUAGGGGCAGAGGGA